GCAAAGCUGCCAAUUGAAUCUGAAUUACAUGUUGCUACAGUAUAGACAUUCAGCAGCCUGGAUUUUUUGCCCUAGUGCAGUAACCCUCCCUUCUCUUUAAUUAGCUGAUAAAGUCAGAAUUUCUUUAACAAAGUACUCAUUAAACAUUGCCUUGUUACAUUACUUUAAAAUGCAAUUAAAAGUUUUAAGAGUGUCGUGGAGUUUGUGUGCCAUUGUCAGCACCCAUGUCACUCACUAUCGGUUUCCACCCACUCACACAGAUCAGAGGCCUCCUGUUAAAUAUAGAUGGCACUUCAUAGCAUUUCUAUAUAGACUAGGCAUAAAACAAUAUCCUGAUGAGGAUGACCUGACUGCACCUUAUAUUUCUGGAAGUAAGACAGGAAUGGGAGGGCAUUCUAGAGGAAGGAGAAGCCCAGUGUAUUUGUUGUCCUUCCACCACUGCAGUUCUCUCUCUAUGGCCCUUUGCGUGGGAGUAGCUGCACAUUGCUGGUAAGUGUGCUGCUUCCAAGUCUUCCCAGACAAAGCUGCAUGGGAACACCACAUAGUAAUUCUAUUAUGCAUCUGAAACAAGAGAGACCAGACAUCGCGUUAAAAGAGAAUGAAAAAUAUCCAAUGCCUGAAUGCUGCCUGGGCCUUCACCCAGUCCUCACACUCUCGUUGGCUGCUGUUAUCAUGAAUGGCACUAAUCAGUUCCAGGAAAUCUCUACAACAAGCAUUAUGUCACAUAUGGUUACAUCAUUCCCUCUAACCUCUAGGGCUUCCUGUUGACAUCUUUGGAGCUCUUCUACGACCAAAUGGUACUAGAAGAAAUGCCAAGCUGUAUUUUUAUCCACUUCUGUCUGCCAGAAGGAAUUCAAAUGUUUCCCUUUUGCAGGUUUCACCUGCUGGGUCUCAUCUUUGCUUCUUAAAAUGAGCAAACCUCAGUGGACCUUCUCAGGGUCUCUCCAGAUGUUUACAUAAAGGAUGGGAAUGCUGCUGUUGACUUAUUUUCUACAAUCAAAACAGAAAGAGGGGUAGGAGGGAAAGCCUACACUCUGGCUUUUCCUCUGCAGCGUUCUUUAUCUCUGAUUCAGCAUCUGCACUAUGAAAUUCGCCAUGAAUGAAUGAACAUUCAGAUGUCUUCACUUCCAGCAGAGAGGACACAACUCUCAGGCUGAAUUAGGCUGUUUGGAGAGGUUUACCAAAAUCUCCAUGAGUUACAGACACAAGACUGCUCUCUCACACUGGCCUGAACUGAGCACUUGGUGGGUAGUAACAUACAAACUCUGACCACAUCACCGGUGUGAAAUUGCUGAUUAACCUUUUGACUCGGACAAUUGGGACUUCUCUCAACACCAACUGGUAAUGCAGAAGACCAUUAGUAGUUAAUAUUGGGACAUCCCAGCUCCAGAUGUCAAAAGACAGGCUGUCUCUGACAGAAGAAUACAGUUCAUCAAAAGUGUCUGCAGGUUGUCAAACUCGUUGUAGAUGUUGGAACUCAAUUUAUCCAGAAACUGGGGAGGACCUGAACUGGCUCAAGCCGUUCUGAAAGAGAGAAGAAGCAGCACAACCAUCCUCUAACAAAAAUGCCUAGGCGGCAUUAGCCACAGCGGCUGACAACGCGGCUGAACGUAUGCGGACAAGCUGCUCUCCCCGAGCAGGCGGGCUCUGCCGACACCUGUGAAGUGAAAACCUGUCUGCAUCGCAGGUGAGAAAGCAAAUAACGCAGGGUGCCGCCGCGGGAGUAACGCCCGCCAGUGGGACUGCCGCAGCCACGUCCGCUGUCCCCCGCCACGGCUGCCCGAGCCUCCGGGGCCGGGCCCAUCGGGGCCCAUCGGGGCCCAUCGCGGCCCAUCGCGGCCCCGCCAUCACCGGCCCCGCGCGCCGUUCGCCGCAGCGCCCGCCAGGUGGCGCCCUUGCUCGGCGAGUGGCGUGAGGGCGGGCGGGCCCGAGAAACGCAUCGCGCCCACCCCCCCUGCCCGCCCUGCAAUUUCGGAAGCAUUAUAACUAAAGUGUUUUCAACUUAUUAUUAUGCAUGAGUAAAAAUUCCAUGAAUGUGUAACAUUUUCGCCUGUAUUUCCCUCUUUUAUAACAUCAUUUAAAUUUCUCAUUAAUAAUUUAGCAACGUUCUGGAUUUUAAUCACUUUUCUCAUCCCCGCGGUCUCUAUCCGAGGCAGCGCUCUCCUCUCUACCUGAAGGUGACAUGGAGGCAGGGCUGGAGCCAGGGGCACCCGCCCCAGCGCCCUGUCCGGCUGCAGAGUGUUUCCUUCAUCACUUGAAAAUCCAAAGGUUGCUAAACCCGGGGCUUGAGUAGGUCACCAUUAGGGAAAAUUAAUUUUUUUAUAUUUUUUUAUCUGAGUUUAAUUAUGGUGGUAUUUGUUUGAUAGCUUGUUACUGUAAAUAAAAGAGAUAAAAGCAGCCCUUCACUCGAGCAGAGUUGUGAAAUAUGUACCUAAUUAAAACUAUUGGUGUAAGAGGCUAAUAAAGUACAUGUGCCUACUAGA